rnacentral:ncRNA from 1 species
GGAUAGAGGCGCAGUCACGAAGAGUAGCGUUCAAUCAAAGCCCCCAAGGCUGAACGUGAAAGGCAAGACUGCCGAAGUAGAGGCCUUGGGAACACCUCUGCUGGACGACAGUUCAAUAGGCUGUCGGCUGUCAUCAUUAUGUAUGAUGGAGUGCUGCCG